rnacentral:tRNA from 1 species
GCCUUCGUGGUGUAGUGGUCUGCACGCUCUGCACACAAUGGAGAGGUCCGCGGUUCGAUUCCCGGCGAAGGCG